rnacentral:rRNA from 1 species
UUCCAGACUCCUACGGGAGGCAGCAGUGGGGAAUAUUGCACAAUGGGGGAAACCCUGAUGCAGCGACGCCGCGUGAGUGAAGAAGUAUUUCGGUAUGUAUAGCUCUAUCUGCAGGGAAGAAAAUGACGGUACCUGACUAAGAAGCCCCGGCUAACUACGUGCCAGCAGCCGCGGUAAUACGUAGGGGGCAAGCGUUAUCCGGAUUUACUGGGUGUAAAGGGAGCGUAGACGGCAUGGCAAGUCAGAUGUGAAAGCCCGGGGCUCAACCCCGGGACUGCAUUUGAAACUGUCAGGCUGGAGUGCAGGAGAGGUAAGUGGAAUUCCUAGUGUAGCGGUGAAAUGCGUAGAUAUUAGGAGGAACACCAGUGGCGAAGGCGGCCUGCUGGACUGCAACUGACGUUGAGGCUCGAAGGCGUGGGGAGCAAACAGGAUUAGAUACCCUCGUA